rnacentral:lncRNA from 1 species
AUCAGUAGGUGCCCCGGCAGGAACCAGGAUGGCACCAAAGCUUUCAGCUGAGGAGACCCAGUGAAGGCAGUGCUUACAGAGGAGUGGGCUUGCAGUGUGAGGGGGCAGCGGGAAGGCUGCGUUCACUUUACUGCUGGGUGGGGGAGGAGGCCUGUUGCCUGAGCCAGGUGGGGCUGCGGCCAGGAAGGGGCCCAUGGGGUGGAGAGGCUGGGGUGGGCGGGUGAUCAGCAGCUUGGUGCAGAAGACUACGCUGCAGAGAAGCUAUGCUCGCAUUAUCUUUACUCUCGCUUAGUUCUCCUGCAACCUCCAGCGGUAGGACUAACAGGUGGAUUAUGCCCAUUUUACAGAGGAGGAGGGUGGGUCCGAGGUGAGGAGAGUCUCUGAGGAUGCGUUUGGACAGGAGCAGGGCCGGGAAGAGGGCUCCUGAUUUCCAGCCCCAUCGACAACAGAACAAGGGCCACGUGGGACCAGGAAAGGGAGCUCUUUGCCAGGACACCUGUGGGACAGGGGCCUGCUGGAUGAAGAGGGGUCAGGCGGUUGGUGGGCUACAUUUUCACCCUGCCAUGUGUAGCUGCAAUGAAAAGAGUGUGCUUUGAGGGGUGGAAUGACAUUCAGCAAAUGAGAAUGGAUUUGACCACCUCUGGGAGAGGAAAUGAUUGCCUUGUCACCACCACCUCCUGCUUUUCUCCCUUGCUGGCCGUCCUUCCUCCCACCACUGGCUUGUUUGGAAGUUGAGGACCCAAAGGAUCUGGGGUUCUGUGGCAUUUGUGGAAAACUCAUACAGCUCUCCUUCUGGAAGCAAAUGGAGACAGACGCGGAAGGGGGUGGGAUGGACUUGAUCUACCACGAAGAGGCUUUCCUGCCCAACAUCCAGGCCUGGCCCAUUCUGCAGGUGCGGGAUGGCAACUGAGCGCUAUGCCAGCUGAGGGCUCCCUGUGGGAUUUCCUGGAGCUGCUUACCACACUUCAACUGCCAACAGAUUCUUCUUGGACCCACUGGUUCUGCUGCAUGGGGCUGGCCAGCAACCCUUCCGUUAGCUGCGACCAACCAACUUCAUGCCCAGUAUUUCUGGCUUCUCCUGUCACUUCUGGUAUCUUGCACGGCCUCAGGAGGGGCUGGAUGAUGCAAUGAGUGUUUGCAGAGGAGUAAACUCCUCAUGAGAUGAAUUUUGACCAAUUGGAAACAGAAGAUGGGAGGAAGCCAGGAGGAUAGGAUAAACUCCCCCUCCUUCCUCUCCUGCUCUGAGAUAUAGUUUCUCUGUAUGGCCUGUCCCAGAAACAUGACAUCUCAUGUUGAGUGACCUGCUGUGUCACUUCAGGACUCAUUAGGAAACAAUGCCCAGCAAAGUAACCUCUCACCUUGCAUUGCUCCCAUCCUCUGCUAUAUGUAGGAGGCUUGGGGGACUUUGAGGCUGAUCCUGGAACAAGACAUGACCACAAGGUGGCAGUAUCACACACAGCUUUGUUUGGGAUGCUUGAUAGGUUUGAUGUUAUAUACAAAUUUCAAAUCCCAGGUGCACGUGAAAGGGGAGAAGGUUUUGGGUGAUGAAGUUCCUUCAGGCACUUCAAAUCAUGCCAUUUGAUAAAAGCAAGUGCGCGGUCCCACAACUCUUACCUAGGAGGAUCGGGCAGGACACCAUCAGCUCUUGUCAGGAAUCCCACUUAGGUUUGUUUGUGGCUUAAGACAAGUCCUACUCACACUUCACCUCUGAAAAAGGCAAUAUUGAGACUCCCGUGUGGGUUCCAAGUGGGACUGGAGUUUCUGACUCCUGUCUGAUCCACUGUCUCCACCCAUCCAACAUAAACGGAUGAAGAACUUAAUGUGGCCCUGUUUAAAAUUUUUGCAAAGAAAACGUGCACUAUCCUUUUGACCUUCACUAGGGAAAGCAUUUUUAAACAAAGAACAGAAAUGCUCAUCAUGAAAUAAAAGAAUGAUAAAUUUAAUUAUGUUAACAGUAAGAAUUUCUACUCAUGAAAAGGCAUUAUAAAAAUGAGAGAAAAUCACAAACUGAGAGAAGAUAUUUGGAACACACAUAAUUAAUAAAACAUUGCUAUCAAAAUAUAUUUAAAUUUUCUGCAAAACAGUAAGAAAAGUAGUAAAUAGAAAAAUGAGCAAAAGACAUGGACAUUUUACUGUAAAGGGAAAAACAAAUGGCCAAUAAAUAUAUGAAGACAUAUUCCAUUUCAUUAUUGAUCAGAUUAGCAAAAUUAAGGAAGUUUUUAAUAUUAAAUGGUAGAAAGAAUGUGAGCCAAGAACUUGUACUCAUUGCUGGUGGGAACAUUAUCUGGGACAAUUGCUUUAGAAAACAAGAUUCAUGUUUUCUUGUAAGUUGAACAUUUGCAGAUCCUGUUGAUGAGGAUUAUUUUGGGCUGGUUACUUUUGAAAACUGCAGACAGGAGAGACUCGGAAAGGUAGAGUUUGCUUGCCCUUUCUUAAGAGACAUUUGCAUUUGUAAAGGAAAUCUCCAUCUGCAAAGGUGCCUUCCUCUGUGCACCAGGAAGAAAGGGGGAUGACCUUAUCUCUAGAAACUCUUAAUGGGGAAGCAUAGGACAUCCUGACUUAGUCCGCUCUGAUUCUUAUCUAAGUUAUAGGACCACCCAAUAACCAGACCCCACCUGCACUGAGACCAUUUUAACGAUUUUUUCAUGAUUUUUCCUUUGUCUUGUAAAGAAACAACUCACAUACCUAUGCCUUAUAAAUUUAGCUCUAACCCUUAACACAUUGCACCUCUUAUGGCCCAUGGGUCCUUUUCCCAUGCUAUUCCAUACCAUUCUCUGAAUAAAAGAGCACUACUGCCAGACCUUGAAAGUCCAAGAAAUCUUUCUUUCGACUCCUCAACUCACUGAGCCCACAUCACUGUGAUCAGAAGCCAUCCUAUCGCCACACAUACUCAAGAAAAAUCUGUUGACAUGUGCACCAGGAGACACGUACAAUAAUGUUCAUAGCAGCACUAUUCAUAAUAUGAAAAAAGUGGAAGCAAUCCAAAUUCCCAUUGACAAAAGAAUAGACUAUAGAUUGACCUCAAGAGAG